rnacentral:rRNA from 1 species
UGGGGAAUCUUCCGCAAAUGGGGCGCAAGCCUGACGGAGCAACGCCGCGUGAGUGAAGAAGGGUUUCGACUCGUAAAGCUCUGUUGUCGGGGACGAAUGUGGAGGUUGUGAAUAACAGCUUCCAAUGACGGUACCUGACGAGCAAGCCACGGCUAACUACGUGCCAGCAGCCGCGGUAAUACGUAGGUGGCAAGCGUUGUCCGGAAUUAUUGGGCGUAAAGCGCGCGCAGGCGGCUUCUUAAAGUCCAUCUUAAAAGUGCGGGGCUUAACCCCGUGAUGGGAUGGAAACUGAGAGGCUGGAGUAUCGGAGAGGAAAGUGGAAUUCCUAGUGUAGCGGUGAAAUGCGUAGAGAUUAGGAAGAACACCGGU